GUCCCAGUUCGGAUUGCAGGCUGCAACCCGCCUGCAUGAAGUUGGAAUCGCUAGUAAUCGCGGAUCAGCAUGCCGCGGUGAAUACGUUCCCGGGCCUUGUACACACCGCCCGUCACACCAUGAGAGUCGGGAACACCCGAAGUCCGUAGUCUGACCGCAAGGGGGACGCGGCCGAAGGUGGGUUCGAUAAUUGGGGUGAAGUCGUAACAAGGUAAC
rnacentral:rRNA from 1 species